UGAUGGCUCCUCCUUUUAUAUUGUGUUGUGCCGUUUUUUCUUUCUUUCUUUCCAAGUUACAUUGCUUCUUGUUUUUCUUUUCGGGUCAACACCCAUCAGGUUGUGUCAAAGGGUUAAAGCCCAAUUAUCUUGUUAAUGUCCAACACUCCCUUUAUUUCCAGUACACCUCUAUAGGUGUAGUACGCAUGUGUGGUCUUUCUUUCAUUUUUAUAUGGCAAUGUGGAUCAACUCAAAAAUAUAUACCACUAUGAUUCCUGGACUCACUUUUCCUCUUCACUUCACAAAAAGUAAACACUUAAAAAUUAGGGUUCCUAAAAUCGUGUCACGAAAUAGCCAU
rnacentral:lncRNA from 1 species